UCAAAAGGUAGUAUAUUCAUUACAACUUGCUUACACCAAGUAAAAGGUCCCUGGCCCCUCUUGAA
rnacentral:tRNA from 1 species